rnacentral:sRNA from 1 species
AAAAAAAACAGAAAAAA